rnacentral:rRNA from 1 species
GUGUCAGCCGCCGCGGUAAAACGUAGGUGGCGAGCGUUAUCCGGAUUUACUGGGCGUGAAGCGCGUGCAGGCGGUCUGGUAAGUCGGACGUGAAAUCUCUCGGCUCAACCGAGAGAGGCCGUUCGAUACUGCCGGACUUGAGGGCAGUAGAGGAAGGUGGAAUUCCCGGUGUAGUGGUAAAAUGCGUAGAUAUCGGGAGGAACACCAGUGGCGAAGGCGGCCUUCUGGGCUGCCCCUGACGCUCAGACGCGAAAGCUAGGGGAGCGAACGGGAUUAGAAACCCCGGUAGUCCUAGCCGUAAACGAUGCAGACUAGGUGUCGACGGUCUCAACCCCGCCGGUGCCGUAGCUAACGCGAUAAGUCUGCCGCCUGGGGACUACGGCCGCAAGGUUAAA